UCAAUCCGACCUCACCCAGAGUGAACGGCAAAUUACUGAAAAUCUUUUAAUCAUGGUGCCAUGGGAGAAAAAACAAAACAAAUCGAGAAACCUCAUCUGAAACUGCUCUCAUUCAACGAUAAUGGAUAACAUUUAUUGCAAGUUGCAAGUGAUUGAACAAGUCUGCUUGGCUUCUGCAUAUCUAACAAGCCAAAACAGCAGGAAAGCAAGCAAAGACAUUUUCAGUACAACUCACUUUCCUUGUGAGUGUGGAUCACACAAUCUGAAGUCGGGUAGGAAACGCAGGUGAGCAGGUAACCCUCCUUCAUUUGGUUGUCGUCAAGAAACGAACCAUCCGACUGAUCGACUGAGCCCGAUGCAAUCUUCCCCGCACAGGUGGAGCACGCGCCAGCCCUGCACGAGUAAGGCAGCUCCACUCCCGCAGAUUCAGCAGAGUCGAGGAUGUAACAAUCAUCGGGCGCCUCAAAUUCACACUCCUCGCCGUCUGCUCCGAUCAGUUUGACCUUGUACGUGGCCAUUGCACAUGCCCUGAAAUCAGCCCUUGCUCUCAACCCGAAGGCUUUGGUGAUGCUCUUCACAGACCCCAACGAGGCCGGGACUCUUACAAACGAAGAACCGGUUUGGUUUUGUGGCACCACGCUCGUGAUCAGGGAGCUGGUCGGAAGCCGUGCAGUCGCCAUUUUCUCCUGAAAAAAUGAUGCCAUUUCAAACACGUUGGCGAGUGGCAAACAACACAAAUGCAGCAUUGCAUUUUCAUGAAUGUAUACUUAGAAAUUGAGUGCAAAGACGCGUUGAAUGUUUAAUGGCAAUGGCGAUAUAUGGUAUGUAU
rnacentral:lncRNA from 1 species